UUUCAGAUGCGGAUGGAUCGACCUCCCGGCAGAGCGCCCCGUCCCAGAUGAGGCGAUCCCCCCGAGAAGGAAGUAAAGCCGGAUAGCAGCAGCGAAGGCGAAGCAGGUAGAAGGUGGUCUACUUGCAAGAUAUCCCAGCCCAGGAUGCCAGAGGACAGGUUCCGUGCAGAGAGGCAGAGCCGAAGUUUGCGAUCGGCCGCACCGCAGCCGGCGCGGGGGACGUCUCGAUGUACGCAUCCUAUCGAGGAUGGGUCUUGUCCUAUUACGUUACAAAAGGUCUCUGAUGCCUAUUUUCUGAGGAUCUACCAUUUGAUGUUGAGAAGCAGCAGCGAGAAGAUGUCUUGGGGCAUUUUGUUCAGCACAGUGUUUCAAAUAAGGGUUGCGGUCACUGUGUGAGUUAGAGUCUCCUGCUGUGUGUCAGGGUGUGUCUGUCUGUGAGAGUCGGUGGGUCUGGGUGUGCUUGUGUGUGUGUGUGUUGUGCGGUUCUAACCUUGUGUGUAUUGCUUUUGCUUUUCAGGACUUUAAAUUCACUUUUAAAUUUAGAAUAAAAAAUCCCCAGCUGGGGGGGUUUUUUUUUUUCCCUCCCAGCUGGGGUUUUUUUUCCUCGGUCCCGGCCGGUCUGCGAGGCGACAGUCAUUGCCUAAGUUUGGGCACGGACCGGCCCCGGACCGGGGUUUUUGUCAGGCAGGCUGAUUUUUGAGGCCCCUGGGAACUGUGUUCCCGUGGGGUAGGAGGGGUGUGUGUGUGUGUGUGUGUGUGUGUGUGUGUGUGUGUUGUGCGGUUCUAACCUUGUGUGUAUUGCUUUUGCUUUUCAGGACUUUAAAUUCACUUUUAAAUUUAGAAUAAAAAAUCCCCAGCUGGGGGGGUUUUUUUUUUUUUCCCUCCCAGCUGGGGUUUUUUUUCCUCGGUCCCGGCCGGUCUGCGAGGCGACAGUCAUCGCCUAAGUUUGGGCACAGACCGGCCCCGGACCGGGGUUUUCGUCAGGCAGGGUGAUUUUGAGGCCCCCGGGAACCAAGUUCCCGUGGGGUAGGAGGGGUGUGUGUUGUGGGGUUCUAACCUUGUGUGUAUUGCUUUUCAGGACUUUAAAUUAACUUUUAAAUUUAGAAUAAAAAAUCCCCAGCUGGGGGGGUUUUUUUUUUUUCCCUCCCAGCUGGGGUUUUUUUUCCUCGGUCCCGGCCGGUCUGCGAGGCGACACUCAUCGCCUAAGUUUGGGCACGGACCGGCCCCGGACCGGGGUUUUUGUCAGGCAGGCUGAUUUUUGAGGCCCCUGGGAACUGUGUUCCCGUGGGGUAGGAGGGGUGUGUGUGUGUGUGUUGUGCGGUUCUAACCUUGUGUGUAUUGCUUUUGCUUUUCAGGACUUUAAAUUCACUUUUAAAUUUAGAAUAAAAAAUCCCCAGCUGGGGGGGUUUUUUUUUUUUCCCUCCCAGCUGGGGUUUUUUUUCCUCGGUCCCGGCCGGUCUGCGAGGCGACAGUCAUCGCCUAAGUUUGGGCACGGACCGGCCCCGGACCGGGGUUUUCGUCAGGCAGGCCGAUUUCGAGGCUCCCGGGAACCACGUUCCUGAGGACCACCGCCAGCAGGGUUAUAACGGGGCGGUUGAGAGGAGAGCGAAGGUGAGUGUGUGUGUGAGCAGAAGCCGGCUUCUGUGGCGAAUGAGUAUUGUGUUUUGUGUGUGCUUGUUGUGGUUUGGGGGAGCAGUAAUAAUGAAACAGCAUGUAUUGUCCUUUUCAGAAAUGGUUAUAUUACGUUAAUAUGUAUUUGGCUUGUAUUGUUCUGUAUUUGCUGCUGUGUUUCUCUGUAUUGCUCUGUAUCUGAAUUAGGAGUUUUUCAGCGUGUACAGCAAUUGUAUUGUAUUGUAAUGCAUUUGUAUCCAGUUUCUAUGUGUUUUUCUGUACUGUAAAUAAAUUCAUUCAAUAAAGUUGCCUCACCCCUAAUAAAGAUGAUCCCCCCCACCCCCUCCUCCCCAACCCCUGUGUCUUUGGUGUGGUGUAGUCAUUAUUUUCAUUCUAUUUCUUGCUUUUCUGUCUCUUCCUAACCUUAUUUCUGUCUGUCACUUCCUCUAUUUUUCUGUUCCUUUGCUCUCUGACUCCAACCCUUUAUUUUCCCUCCAACUCUGUUUCCUUUCCUUCUAGCUCCGAGUUAGACAGACAGCAAAUGGAGUCGAUUCCUUUCCACUGUAACUCAGUUCCAGUGAACAGGAAUCGUCUCUGUUUCCUUUCUCUCUACCUCUGAGUUAGACAGAAAAGAAAUAGAGUUGGUUUCUCUCCACUCUCCCUCUGUCUCUUUUCUCUCCAACUCUGUUUCUUUUCCCUCUAGCUCCGAGUUGGACAGACAGCAAAUGGAGUCGAUUCCUUUCCCCUGUAACUCUGAGUUACAGGGACCAGGCAUUGUCUCUGUUUCCUUUCUCUCCACCUCUGAGUUAGACAGAAAAGAAAUAGAGUCGGUUUGUCUCCACCCUUCCUCUGUUUCUUUUCCCUCUGGCUCUGAGUUAGACAGACAGCAAACGGAGUCGAUUCCUUUCCACUGUAACUCAGUUACAGUGACCAGGAAUUGCCUCCGUUUCCUUUCUCUCUACCUCUGAGUUAGACAGAAAAGAAGUAGAGCUGUUUUCUUUUCCCUCCAACUUAGUUUUCUUUCCCUCUAGCUCUGAGUUAGACAGAAAGCAAACGGAGUUGAUUUCUUUCCCCUGUAACUCAGUUACAGUGAACAGGAAUUGUCUCUGCUUUGUUUCUCUCUACCUCCGAGUUAGAUGGAAAAGAGAGUUGGUUUCUUUUCCCCCAUCCCUCUCUUCUUUUUCUUUCUACUUCAACUCUGUUUCUUUUCUCUCUCAC